AACUAUAAUAACAUGAAAGAAUAGUCUUUUCUUUAAGUUGUGUUGAGUAGUAUUUAUGAGUGUGAAAUAUGUUUCAGUGUGACCUUGUUCAGUAUUCAUUAUCAUAGGUUUCUUUAAUGUAAGAUGAAAACUAGAUCAAGCACUUGGUGGAAAACAGUUUUGUUCAAAUUCAUGGCAAAUGUGGAAUCUAUUAAAAAGCCAAUUCAGAUCAUCAAAAUGAAAACGCUUCAGUCGCAUGAACAUGUCUGUUGUGUGAUAAAACUGCCAUCAUGUUUUAUACAAAUAAUGAAUGAUCUGGUUGAGAAAAGAGAUACAAAUUCAAUAAUCAAAUUUUUGAGCACUACUACUAUUUCAAAUUAAAUUCUGUAUGUGGCGUAAGGGUGUAUAUUUGCAUUUUGUACUGUCUUCAUGUGCUUCAGCAGUCACAUACAAUUCCAUGGGUUAAUUAUUUGUCAAACUGUCAGAAAUAUCAACAUGUAAAUAUUCAAGACCUCAAUUAUCCAGUGUGUCAGACCUCCAUUCCAUUACGAUUAAUAUGCUCUGGAUUCAUUCAUGAUCACAGCUUCAUUGUGUCUGAGAGAAACUUCAGCACAGAAUUUUGGUCACUUGUGAACUUGAAGGCAACACCAUCAAAACACCUCUUCUAAAAGAGAUUUUGGCGUUCAACGCCAUAGCCUCAUUCGAGCAAGUCUUUGAUGCAUUUAAUAAAAAAAGGAGACUUCUGCAAAAGUUCAAUUCAGAGUAUUAAGACAAGGGAGCUAAGUCUAUCCAGAAAAAAAACUCUCCAUCUGUAUUAGAGGUGAAUCAAGUACAAGUGAUAUCGCCACUGUCAAUCAUAAAAGAAUAGUGCAAUUUGAUUGGAUGUCUACUUUUAGCAUUGUGCCAAUCGACCUUGAUUCAAAAUGAAACUUUAGUGGUGAGUGAGUCCACGGUGUAAUAUAUAUCAUAACAGAGGUGAGAUAGGAUACACUGGUUAAUUAAGGAUCUAUCAAGAAUGCAUUAAUUGAAAAAAUGAACACCAAGUCCAUUGUACCAGGCUUUCCACAGAGCCAAUAUAUAUGCAUACAUUCAUACGAAAUUGUCUCUGACUUUGACAGUGGUAGAGUUCUGUGUAUUUGUUGAAUGAAGCCCACUGAGACGGAAGCAAUAUCAAAGUUCACGUCACUGAUACGAAGUCACAAGUCUUUGAAAACUGACAUAUAGCAAGUUUGUUGUUCCAACAAUAAUGCACAAUAUUGAAGUAUUAUUAUCAUAUCAAGCUACUGCAAUGUAAGCCACUGAAGGCGCCACAUUGUACGGUACAAAAUAGGUAAUAGAUAAUCUCAGCAUGUGUAAUGUACUGUCAUGUGUGCAUUUCAAAAUUGUAAAAUGUUAAAUUGAUGCAAUUUGUUCUUUUACUCUCAAAAGUUCCAUCAACCAUACCCAAAUAAAGUUUUGUGAAAGAUUCCAUUACAUGUAUUUAGAAAAAGAGCUAAAUGAAAUAUAUACAUUUUCAGUCAAGAUAUUACUGUUGUUUUGUAGUACAUUCUUUUUAAUACAAAAGAUUAGCAAUGUAAAUGAAGAGAUUUAUCACUAUCUGCCAUGACAAAGUGAGAUUUUCAUAUAAUUCAGAUGUAACACAUGUGUUUGUGAAUGAAAAUUCUACAAGUAUAUAUUAUCAUAUAUCUAUUCUUGCUAAUAUCUCUUCUGAAGGAAAUAUUUGUCAAUGGGCUACAUCAACAUUUAUAAUCCUCUUCUUGUCAUGUUUUGUACAACAAACUUCAGCUACAAGUUUGAUCUUGUUUUUGUUAUAGGAAACAUUCUAAGUAAAUCAUGAAAUUUUGACAUUAACAUGGAGGUACAUAUUUCCUGAAUCAUUUCAGCAUCUGGCUCAUUAUUUCCGCAUGAUCUCAAAACCAUCACUAUAUGGCUACCGAUGCAAUAAAGAUAUAUAUAUUUGUAGCAAGGCUUGUACACAGUUGUAAAGCAUCAGUUGCUUGUUGGAGUAUGACGAUAUGAAAAGCGAGUCAUCUAUAGUUGCUGUGCCCUAUGUAAUCUGUGUAUCAUGCCCGUCAUUUCAAACAAGCUAAAUCCACUUUCAAGACCAAAUAAUAGCAGGUUGUAUUGAAGCUUGAUCCGCUUUAUGAAGGAAAUAAUAGGUUUUAUUAAACUGUGUAUAACUGACAGAGUGCACCCAGUACACUCACAUAGGAUAACAAUGUUGCUGAAUAUGUACUGCCUCUGUCGGUGUAGUGAUACUAUAGCAGACUGAUGAAAUGAAGCAUUAUUUUACUACAGCUUAUUACAGCCAGGGGCUAUAUAGCAAUAUCGUGUCAGGUUUCUAUUUGGCUACAGGAAUACAAUACAAUAUGUUGUCACUUUCACGAUUCUAUUUUGAUUUAGAUCACUGAGAUGAUAAAGGUUUAUCUGCAUAAGGCUAUUCAUCCCAAUGAUAAUAUAUUUCAUGUUUCAGGGCAGAAUAAUCUAUCAGUGGAAUGGAAUACAAAACAUAAAGCAAGAUUCAUAGCUGUCGCAGGUAUAGAUUUAUAGUUCCUACAAGGGGGAUGUGCAGCAUUUUGGAAAAGGGGGAUUUAUGCAGAACAGUUAGAUUGAGGGAUGCAUUGCAGUUUGUAAAAGGGGAUGUAAAACUUCUUCAAAAGGGUGGGUAUAAAAUUCAGUAAUGUUAGCAUAUAGAUGGUUAUUUUUUAAAAGGGGCUGCACAGCAUCUUGAAAAAGGGGGAAUGCAGAACAGUUAGAUCGAGGGAUGCAUUUAUAACAGUUUGUAAAAGCUAGGGUACAACUUCUCAAAAAGGAAGAGUGGGUUUAAAAUAAAAUCAUGUCAGCAAAUAAUUCAGGAAGAAACUUGAGUAUUUUACAUCAAAAUUUAUUCAAUUAAAUGUGUGGCUUUCAUUCUAACAUGUUACCCAAUGAUUUAGUUACAGUUUUCAUUAGUAUGCUACAAAAAGAAAUGGAUGUAUGCAUUCUUAAAUGAGAUCUUGUUUCUUAGAGCGUGGCAGCCUUGAGAAAAAGCUAGUUUAAGCUUAGUAGUAAUUAUUAUCAAGUCAAAAGUCACGCGAUUGCUGACAAAUGUAUGUGCUGUAAACAUAAUUCCUGAAAUGCAUACAAACACACAAUAACUCAAGUCGGAGCAGUCUUCCACAAAACAUUAGUUCCAGUUGCUAGGCAGCUAAGCAGGGACUAAUUACAGUGACAUAACUUUCAAACUGUGUUGUGGAAUGGAGCCCUUUUACAUCACCGAGAAAGUUGUUCCUGUCAGAUGCUGUUCUCAAGCUUCCUCUGCUCCACUGAACACAGUGUAACACAGUGUAACACUACAGCUGGAAUGUUUAACAGUACAUUGUGACAGGGCUGGCUAAAAAGACCGAUAAUCAGAAAUAUCUUCUUUGAGUCGCAUUUAGCAGUUGGCGUGAUGAACAACAGGAUGAAUUUCGGUGUAGCUACUAACACUGUUAUCAAACAAGUCAAAUCACUUGUUUGAUAACGGUGUUAGUAGCUACACCGAAAUGUCACUCAUAUUGAUAAUAAAGAAGUUGUAUAUCCAUAGAACUCUCCAUAUUGUUCAUCAGAAAUAUCAUUGAAAGGAAAAACUAUAAAGAUAAUCAAUAUGAAAACAGUGCCAUCGAUAAUAUCAUAAAUAAACUUUUGUGAUAGAAUAAAGUUUUAAUUUACUCACACAAUACACAAAGUUAGUUUUUUAAUCAUGGGUGCAUCUAAAUUAUGUUCAGGAUGUUGUUUUGUUAGCACCCCAUGCAAAAACAUGUCACAACUCACAAGCAGUAUGAAAUAUUUUCAUUCCUUUCAGGCAAUUUUGGGCAGUUUUGCUCAAAAUCACUUCUCCGAUAUUAUCGAUAAUCGAUCGAUAUUUAUUUUAUGAUUAUUGAUCUCUCUGAUUUACAUUGAUAGUAAGCCCUACGUUGUUAUAACAAUGUAUCAGUAGAUUGUGUAUGUUGAUUCUGUAGCCAUACAAAUUUGUUUAUAUUGAUACUAAAUUUAUAUCCACUGCCACAAAAAUGUUUACAUGUAAUGAUGAUGAUGUAAGAUUGAUAAUGAGUGGGAUGAAAAUUUAUUUCCAGGUUUACUAGGUAAACACAUACCUGAUGAUAAAAUGUUUAUGGUAUUUAUAACUUGAUUAUUUUGUUGUGUCGAUACUAAAAUUCUCUAGUGUCAUCUGUAUCUUUGGACAUUCUUUACUUAAUUAAUAAUAUAUUCACAUUAGAGUUGCUUUUGGAACAAGUGGUUUUAUUUCAACAAGCUCUGAUUUAAUUUCCGACUUUACAGUGACAAAUCAUUACCAAGACACUGCAAUUUUGGUCUCGUUCAUUUUGUUGUAUUUUCAUAAAGAUCGUCUUGCAAAGUUCCAUAGUAAACUUGCAGCAUAUAACUGUAUAUAUCUGAUUUGUUACCAAAUGGAUUAUAUUGUUGUUUAUAUUAUUUCACGGUGCAAGUUUGUUGUUCAUUAUCAUUGUUGAUUAGCAUACAUAUCAGAAUAUAAUCAAAAGAUACUGCUUGACAGCUUCCAGAAAUUAUCAUCAAUAUGUUGAUAAAUAAAUUGAGAUCAAUUUUAGGAUCAUGGAAUUAA
rnacentral:lncRNA from 1 species